AACGAACGCUGGCGGCACGCCUAACACAUGCAAGUCGAACGAGAUCUUCGGGUCUAGUGGCGCACGGGUGCGUAACGCGUGGGAAUCUGCCCUUUGGUUCGGAAUAACAGUUGGAAACGACUGCUAAUACCGGAUGAUGACGAAAGUCCAAAGAUUUAUCGCCAGAGGAUGAGCCCGCGUAGGAUUAGCUAGUUGGUGUGGUAAAGGCGCACCAAGGCGACGAUCCUUAGCUGGUCUGAGAGGAUGAUCAGCCACACUGGGACUGAGACACGGCGCAGACUCCUACGGGAGGCAGCAGUGGGGAAUAUUGGACAAUGGGCGCAAGCCUGAUCCAGCAAUGCCGCGUGAGUGAUGAAGGCCUUAGGGUUGUAAAGCUCUUUUACCCGGGAUGAUAAUGACAGUACCGGGAGAAUAAGCCCCGGCUAACUCCGUGCCAGCCGCCGCAGUAA
rnacentral:rRNA from 1 species